AGCUCAUAUAAGGUAAAAGGCAGAGUGGCCUCUGUGGCCAGGGAGCCGCAGGCAAGGGACUAAGGGGAGGGGGGCUCAGUGCCAGCUGCUUAAAAAUGCCCCUGUGGCAGCGAGGGGCACCAGAGGCUGGGUCUAAUUAGUUGAGAAGCAGUGACACCCCCAACCACUCCCCAAACAGGCUGGCUCCCGUCUCCAGGCCCCAAGGAGCCACACCUGGACCAGACCCCAGGAAAGGCAAGGGCACUAGCUGGUGGGAGCCACCCCGCCAUGCUGAUGUCAGAGAAGCAAGAACUCUGGAGAAGCAGCCUCCUGGGACCAGAGGAGGGCCAGCAGCAGGCAGCCCGGAGACAGAACUCUCACCCACGCCUCUCCAAGCCUCCCGACAGAAGACAGAGGUCCCCCACAGCCAGAGACAUUUCCUGAAGACAUGGGGAACACAGAGGCAGAAACAGCCCAUCCACCCAGGAGCUGUCCCCCACACUGCCGGGAGCCGGCACCCAGAGCCGCCAGGUAAAACUGAGGCCACCUGGUUCAACAUCGCCUUUCAUAGAAGGGGAAGCAGCCACAGAAAGAAGGGCCUGGUAAGAAGUGGAACCUGGGACCCCCAAGCGGUGUCUCUCAUCCUGACUGGGGAUCCAGAGUAGGAGGGAGCCUUUGGUGGGGUAAGUGGAAUGGGGCAGUGGGGGUGGCCAUAGACCCCUCUUCUCAGUAAGGCCCUCAUGUGAAGGAGGCAGGGGUUGGGACAAGUGCUAAGUAUGCAAGACUCAAGGGAAGAGCUGCUGGAGCCAGGGGAAGCACCUCCCUCCCGGCCCCUCUGCCCCUCCUCAUAGCCCAGCUGCACUGACUCCUCCUCCAGGAAGCCUUCUCAGCUUCCCCAGGGGUGGGAACCUUUUCGUCCUCCAGGUGUGCUUGGCUGUCCUUUCUUGGGCUCUCUCUCUCUCUCUCCUCAUCCCACUUGAGUCUGCCCCCUAUUCACCUUGUGAGGGGAAUUUCCUUCUACUCAAUCUGACCGAGGUCCUCCAGGUCAAGGACGGCGUGGCUCUCAGUCCCACUUCCCCUUGGCACAUAGAAGAGGCAGUGCGCUGAAGGGACAGGUGAAAUGAUUAGACCCUGCCCCCAAACCAAGGCCUGGCCAAUUGGACAGGGCAUGAGACAUUCAGCGUAGAGGUUAAAAUGAGGGCCCUGGGUUAGGAACCCCAGCUCAGUUCUCAGCUCUGUACCCUUGGAAAAUUCCCUUCCCAUGGAGCUUUGUGAAUGCACAGGGACUUGCACAAAGAAAACAUUCAAUAUCCAGGACUAUAAAAUUCCACAAAUGACUGUGCUUAUUACAUUCAUUAUCACGAUGAUUAUUCCAGACACAAAGGAACAGAACGAGGCACCAACAGCAAGGGGCAAGCAGAUUCAAGGGCCACAGAGGAGAUGGAGGCAAACACCUUCCCCUGGUCAGAGGCUGUGCCUCAGCCCUUCUCCCUGCAUCAGUUUCUCCUUCAGAAGCAUGGGACUACCUCCCAUCUAGUUCUCGUUUCUAAACCCAGGGGAGAUGCUAUCUUUGCUGCAAUAAUCUUAGCCUACAUCUUGGAAUGGAAAUGGCCUUGGUGGAAAUGGUCUUCAACUCCUCUGGUCCAAGCUCAGGCCCUGUGACCCUGGAACAAUCCCCUUCCUGGUCCUCCAUGUAGGAGCAAUAACAUUCCCUUGCCAGCGGCACCAGCCAUUCUGAUGAUUAAAUGGUAUCGGACUCUGUUUUCCAAACUCAGUCAUUCAGAUGCCCCCUAUUUUAUUUCUUCCAUGUCUGCAAAUGAUUAUAAUAUUUUAAAAUGUAAGAUGAGUCCUUUUUAUUACACAUAGAAAUAGCUACUGUAAAUAGCAAACUCUAACACUGUGCCUAAUUAGGAAAUAAAGGUAACCAUAAAUACAGUAAAAAUGAAACAAUGUUAUUAUGCUUUAACCUGAUAGUGUGGCUUGCAAGGCCCUGGGCCUGAAGCCUGGGCAAUAAGUGAGAGUUAGAAAGGUGUCAAAGACAUGAUAGCAGCAAACUGAGGCUUUGUACCCCACGGUAAAUAGGACUGAAAGCAAAUUCACAGGGAGCAACUGAUCCAUUCCACAACAGAAUGCUCCCUGUCAAUUUGCUUUCCAUUCUGUUGUGUCCUGUCUCCCAGCAGAGACUACAAACUCCCCAAAACCACUUACCCACCAGCUGCACGUGAGAAGCCAAAGGUAGUUUAUGUGAAAGGGCUUUGGAAAUAAUCACGCACCAAGUGAAGGCAGAGGACACACCUUGUCAGCUUAGUUCUCAGCAGCAAAUCAUCUCUUUUCCAGGAUAACCCUCCCUGAUUCUUAUUGAAAUCUCUUUGCUGAUCACACUAAGCUCUUCUCUCUCAGGGGCAGUGGGAGCCGUGGAGAGUGGAGUAGACCAGCUGUCUGUGACCUGCAAGGGAGUCCAAUGUCAGAAUCACUCCCCAGCCAAAUGCACGGUUUUAAAAAAUCUAUUUAUUUAUUUAUGUAGAGACCAGGCUAUGAGACUGGCUAAUUUUUCGUAUUUUUGGAUAGAGACAGGAUUUCAUCAUGUUGCCCAGGCUGGUCUUGAACUCCUGGGCUCAAGCGAUCCACCUGCCUCGGCUUCCCAAAGUGCUCGGGAUUACAGGCGUGAGCCACUGUGCCCAGCCACCAAAUGCAGUUGAAAAGAGUUUCUGCAAGAUAAUUCCACAGAAGAGGAAAGCAGUUAUCUGGCUGGGAAUACCUUAGACAGAGGCUGUCCUCUACACAGGCUGUCAGAACUGACCUACUGACCUGCCUGCUGGCAUGAUAGACCAGAGGGAAACACUCUUUCCACUCUUCCCAGAGUGAGUGUAAGAGACAGACUUUUUUUUUUUUUUUGAGACGGAGUCUCACUCUGUCACCCAGGCUGGAGUGCAAUGGCAAGAUCUCGGCUCACUGCAACCUCCACCUCCCCAGGUUCAAACCAUUCUCCUGCCUCAGCCUCCCAGGUAGCUGGGAUUACAGGCUCCCGCCACCACGCCUGGCUAAUUUUUGUAUUUUUAGUAGAGACAGGGUUUCACCAUGUUGGCCGGGCUGGUCUCGAACUCCCAACCUCAGGUGAUCCGCCUACCUUGGCCUCCCAAAGGGUUGGGAUUACAGGUGUAAGCCACUGCUCCCAGCCUUUUUUUUUUUUUUUUUUUUUUAUUAGAGACAAGGGCUCCCCAUGUUGCCCAGGCUGAUCUUGAACUCUAGGCUCAAGCGAUCCUCCUGCCUGAGCCUCCCAAAGUGCUAGGAUUACAGGCAUGAGCACUGCUCCCAGCUCUGUUUUUAUUUUUUUAAGGAGGUAUAUUUUUUCUGUUCUCUCUCAGCCCUGAAGAAAGGCUACCCAUCCCCUUCAGACAUUCCUGAAAAUAUAUGUCAUCCAACAUCAAGGCCACCACAGUGACCACUAAGCAACGCAAGAAGGUCCUCUGGGGUGCCCUGAGAUCUUGGCAGGGCAGGAAGAGUGAGAAGGGGCUUUGCCUGCUCACCUGAAAGUUCCCACCCAAGCCGGGCCCAGAAAACAAAAUGAAUUAUCUACAUGGUCAUCCAAUCAGCCACCAAAUGGCAUUACCUGGGUCCAUCAUCAUGUACCAAGCCACAGGUCAGACCCAGGGCCCCCCUAAUUAACAAGACACAGGCACUGUCCUCAGGAAGUGGAGAUCUAGCCAGGUCAGACCCACACACAAAUAACACUGAUACUAGAGAUAAUGAGAUUGGGAAUUAUGAUUCAGCCAUUCAACCUGGGCUUAUGCGGCAUCUACACCACCUGGCCCUGAUUUCAGUAGUGAGCAGUUGACAGGGUCCCUUCCCUUCACAGGUGAGCCAUGUAGUCCACAAGUGGAGGUGGUCGUAAGUGAAAAGCACAUUACCAGCAUGGUAGAGGGUUAGAAAGAGGGCACAGGGUGGGCGAGAACAUGAAGCAGGGGGUGCUGAUGGCUAAAGAAGUCAAGGAGGGGCUGGGCACUGUGGUUCAUGCCUAUAAUCCCAGCACUUUGGGAGACCAAGGCGGGUGGAUCACCUGAGGUCAGGAGUUCUAGACCAGCCUGGGCAACGUGGUGAAACCCUGUCUCUACUAAAAAUACAAAAAUUAGCCAGGCAUGGUGGUGCACGCCUGUAGUCCCAGCUACUUGGGAGGCUGGGGCAUGAGAAUUGCUUUAACCCGGAAGGUGGAGUUUGCAGUGAGCCGAGAUCGUGUCACUGCACUCCAGCCUGGGCGACAGAGGGAGACUCUGUCUCAAAAAAAAAAAAGUCAAGGAGGGUUUCCCAGAGUGGCCACUUGAUUAGAGACCUAGCACAGGAGGAAGAGAUGGGCAGGGAGAGUGACGGGGAGCAGCACAGUCCCUGGGAGCCCGAAGUGGGUGGGCACAGGGCUCCCUAGGAGAAUGGAAGGACAUCUAUGAGCUGUAGCCCAAGAGGAAGAGGUCACUGAGGCUAGAUGUGGCAGACCCUCGCGGGCUUUGGGGAGGGCUUCACAAUUCAGCCUGAGGGCAAUGGGGAGCCCUUUUGGGAUAUUAAACUUGAGAAAAUAUGAGCAUAUUUGCAUCUUGAAAAAUCAUUAUGGGAAGAUGGCUGGGAAGAGAGGAGGAGUGGCAGAAGAAAGAUAGGUUGGAGACAAUUGAUUGUUCGAUGAUAUAAAAUGUUAAGUACCGUGAAUGAUGCUGUUUGGCUGGAAUGCACCAAGCAUAAAGGUGGGGCAUGGCAUCAAAAGGUAGGUCAACAUAUUAAAUAAUUCCAUGUAUUGAAAUAUCCAGAAAAUAUAUAGACAGAUCUAUAGAGAUAGAAACUGGUCUGCCCAGGACUAGGGGUUGUCUAAGGAUAAGGAGUUUCUUUUUUGGAUGGUGAAAUAACCUAAAAUAUAUUGUGCCAUUGUUUGCAAAACUUUGUGAAUAUAUUAAAAACCUGUUAAUUGUACUCACUAAAUGUUCUCCUUCUAAAUUAAGCUGUUCUUGACAAGAAAAGGAAAGAAACAAAGAAAAGAAGAGAAAAAAGGUCAAGGUUUGGUCCUGGGUGCUCAAAUGGCAGGCCACAGACAGGAAACACAGUUGUGAGGAAUUACAACAGCCUCCCGACCAGAGCUGGAGAGGUGGAGCCCAGGUCCCCUCUAACACCCCUUCUCCUGGCCAGGUUGGAGUCCCGCCACAGGCCACCAGAGCGGAGCAGCGCAGCGCCCUGUCUCCCAGCCUGAGGUGCAGUGCUGCAUCUCUGGUCAGUUGGGAGUCUGAGAUGAAGCACUGUAGCUCAGGAAGAGAGAAGUUUUUCUGCAGCCAUCAGCCUGGAAGUGGUAAGUGCUGGGGGGUUGUGGGGGGCCAUACCAGGAAGGACAGAGUGUUUCCAGACUCCAUACUAUCAGCCACUUGUGAUGCUGGGGAAGUUCCUCUACACAAGUUCCCCUGGUGCCACAAUCUGCUUCACGAGUCUGGGCAUGUCCUGACUCCUCUGUGUACCCCAGUGUGUCCAUCUUAGCAUGAGGCGUUAGCAUUUCCCCAGCACCCUGCCUCUGCUUUCUCUUUCUGAGCCCAUGGCAGACACAGCUAAUCAGUAAAGGCAUAUAUUCUUUUUUUUUUGAGACACAGUCUCACUCCAUCACCCAGGCUGGAGUGCAGUGGCAUAAUCUCAGCUCAUUGCAACCUCCUCCUCCCAGGGUCAAGCAAUUCUCGUGCCUCAGCCUCCCAAGUAGCUGAGAUUACAGGUGUGCGCCACCACGCCUGGCUAAUUUUUGUAUUUUUAGUAGAGAUGGGGUUUCACUAUGUUGGCCAGGCUGGUCUCAAACUCCUGACUUCAGGUGAUCUGCCCGCCUCGGCCUCCCAAAGUGCUGGGAUUACAGGCAUGAGCCUCCACGCCCCGCCAGGCAUCCAUUCUUGAAGUGCUCAGAUGCAGCUUCAGAAUCCUCAACAAUGAGCCCUGGAAAGCCACUAGUACUGAUUCACAGCUGAAACUCAUUCAUCAUUUGUGGAUCAAACAAUUCCUAAAAACCCUUUCAGCCCUGAAGAUAAAAAUUCUGGCCUUUGAGUCAGGGUCUUCACUCUGUACUUCUAACCUUGGCUCCGGGGUAUUGCCAAAACCAGUCCAGGCACGUCACAAAUGUCUGACUUCUCCCAGAGGCUUCAGAAGCACAAUGAGCAGCAGAGGAGAGCCAUGGAGCCAAGCACAGUCUCAUUUAACCUCCCCAAAAGCUUGGGAAGUGGGUGGUGUUAUAGCCCCAUUUUACAGAUGAGAAAAACGAGGCUUAUUUAAGCAGCUCACCUAAAGUCACAUAUUGAUUGUGCUGAGCUGAGAUUGUACCCUAAUCUGCCUUCAAAUCCAUGUUUUUACCCAUUGCAUGUGAUUAUGGAACCUGGGACCGAGGAGCAGGAGGAGAACAUUCUAAAUUCUGCUCCCAUCUUGUCUUUACAUCUCAGGUCACUUUUAGCAAGGACAGACCCAGACACUUGCCGUUAAUACUACAGGCUUCCUUCCUCCUACCCCCUUCCCCCAAUCUUAUUCAUCUCACCUCUCCAGUAGGUCAUAGACUCAUGCAUUUUAUAAUUAAAGAAGGCCAAGGCUCAGGGGUUAAGUGACUUACUGGAGGUUAUCAGAGAGGAAGCUGCCAAACCCAGGCUAGGAACUGAAUGGUUGGUUUAAAUCCACCCCUCUGGCAGGAGACUGGGGAAUACACAUGAGCCAUGCAGACAGCAGAGGGCAGUCCUGGGGGUGGGGGCGCCAGAGGGUUUCCGGUACUUUUCAGGGCAAUUGAAGUUCCGGUCACUACUCCCCCCCAGAGCAAUAAGCCACAUCCGGCGACGUGUGGCACCCCACCCUGGCUGCUACAGAUGGGGCUGGAUGCAGAAGAGAACUCCAGCUGGUCCUUAGGGACACGGCGGCCUUGGCACUGAAGGCCACUCGCUCCCACCUUGUCCUCACGGUCCAGUUUUCCCAGGAAUCCCUUAGAUGCUAAGAUGGGGAUUCCUGGAAAUACUGUUCUUGAGGUCAUGGUUUCACAGCUGGAUUCGCCUCCUUCCCACCCCACAGCUGCCCCCCAAUGGGGCCUCGGCUGGCUCACAGGAUGAGGGUUCAAGAAGAAGGCUGUCCCUGGAGGUAAGAGGGCUCAUGAACCAUGUUCCAAACCUUUGCGUUGCUUUUCUUUCCAUCGUGUCUAUUUCAUAACAUCCCUGUGAGGCUGGAUGUGGGAACUUCAGCACUGCCGUACUCUUGGGAAAUUUGUCCAAGGCCACCCGGCUGAGCAGCGGUUGAACCAGGACACCAUCAGGCAUGCGUUUCUUGUCUCCACCACACCCUCAACCCACUUCCCAACGCGCCUUGCGACAGGGGCUGCGGUAUUGCAUCCACAUGACUGAUAAACUAGUAAACACACAUGAAUUCAUUUUAAAAGUGUAUUCAAUCAGUUAGGUAAACUAAAAACCUCAAGUCUUCGUUCGAUUUGGAAUGCAGCCAGAGAACAAAUGGAAAAUUUUUCAAGGUAGAGAAGAUGAAAACUCAGAACGCCCUCUUGUGGCAUCUCUACCCACCCCAGGAACACUAUGGCUCUUCCCCUACACACGGUGAUUGCUAACCUUGCUACAAGACAUAGGACACACACACACACACACACACACACACACACACACUGAGGUUCCUUUUGCUCCCUCACUUUUGAGCCAGUGACUACUGAAACCCUCUCCAUUGUUGCACCACCAGCAAUGCCCCCAUCACUUCCUCUCGUUUACUUCCACAGGCUGGUUCAUCCUCAAAGCCCUCCUUACGUAGAUCUGUGGGAUCAGUGAGGCUCAGAGAGGUAAAGUGGCCAGCCCAAGGUCGCCCAGACAGCAAAAGGCAGGGCCAGCGCUGAUUUCAAGUCCAAUGGCCUAUGGCAAUUUCUUAGCCAAAAGCAAAAUCUACAAAAAUAAAAAGGCAGGCACAGUGGUGAGUGCCCACAGUCCCAGCUACUGAGGAGGCCGACGGGGGAGGACCACUUGAGCUUGGGAGUUCCCGGCUGCAGAGAGCUAUGAUUGUGCCUGUGAAUAGCCAAUGCACUCCAGCCUGAGCAAGAUAGGGAGACCCUGUCUCUAAAAAAUACCUAAAUAAUUUUAAAAGUCAGCCUCUCUGACUGCCUAUAGAGAAUGCUAACUGACUGAAUGACAAAAGACCUAAUGUAAUCCAGGUGCAAAAUCAGAACUUUCCGGCCGGGCGCGGUGGCUCACGCCUGUAAUCCCAACACUUUGGGAGGCCCAGGCGGGUGGAUCACGAGGUCAGGAGUUCAAGACCGGCCUGCCCAACAUGGCAAAACCCCGUCUCUACUAAAAAUACAAAAAAUUAACUGGGCGUGGUGGUGGGCACCUAUAAUCUCAGCUACUCAGGAGGCUGAGGCAGGAGAAUUGCUUGGACCCGGGAGGCAGAGGUUGCAGUGAGCUGAGAUCGCGCCACUGCACUCCAGCGUGGGCGACAAAAGUGAAACUCUGUCUCAAAAAAAAAAAAAAAUAGAACUUUCCCUGUACUCUUGCUAGGGCUUUUCAUGGAGUUGUAGAAACGGUAGUAAGUGCCAAGGCCCCAGAACCCGAAUGUUUGGGUCCGACUCCCACAUUGCCAGAGACUAGGCAGCUCACACAGGUGUCCCAAGCUGUCUUUCUCACAGGCCGCAUUGAAGGCGUUUAUGAAAUGAGACCCCCUCUUCCUCAUCCGUAGUGACAGGGCUGGCCUGACCGUGGAGAAAUCAGAUUUGAUCAUGAUAGCUUCCACUCCGUGACUGGUCACGACCUGCCAGGCGCUGUGCUAAACACUUUCAUAGGCCUUGUCCCCCUCCAUCCUGAUAACACCCCAGUGAAGCAGGCCCUGCUCUUCACUCCACUCCACAAAGCCAAGGCUGAGAGAGGUUAACAGACUUACCUAAGGUCACACAGCUAAGAAGUCGUGAAGCUGGGAUCGAAUCAAGUCUGUGUUUAUGGGUUUAACUAUCAUGUUGUGGCCCCAACCCCAUUUGGCCUAGCCUGGCUGGUGGGCCUUCUUGCAGUAGCUUCCCCUGGAGAAGAGGAAAAGCAAACCUUCAUUGAGACCCAAGCGGUCUCUCCUGUGCUCUGUGACAAUAAUAAAGUUCUGGCCCUUG